UGGGCCAGUUGCAGACCCUGACAGACGGUCGGAAGGUGGAGGAAGGAAGAGGCCGCAGCAUCUGUCUCCCUCCGCUUUGGGAAGCAACUCCGCCGUAUCUUCGAGUGUCCAGCCCCUCGGAAGUUCCCGUUUCCGCUGGGUGGUCCUGGAUCCUGGACUCUGGUGCAGCCUAAUUCCCCUCUCCUGGACCAGGAGGCAGAACUGGCUUUGUGACUCACCUCUGUCUAGGAGAAUGUGGCAAAUGUGACAAUGUGUGACUUCUGAUGUUAAGUCAUAAAAGCCAUCAAGCACACCAUCCUGGAAGUGGCAGCUCUGGCCCCAGUUAAGCCCUCGGAUGAGAGCAGCCCUCGCCAGUAUUUUGACUACAACUCAUGAGAGACCCUGCAUCAGAACUGCUCAGCCAAGCUGCUCUCAACUUCCAUAUCUGCAGAAACUACAAAAGAUAAUGGUUUUAUUUUUAAGUAAUCUCUACACCCAACAUGGUGGGGGUCCAACUUACAACCCCAAGAUCAAGACUCACGUGCUUUACGGACUGAGCCAGCCAGGCGCUCCUAGAAAUGUAAUUCUUAGCCCUGUCACUCAUUAAGAGGCAGGCUCUCCCCAAACCACCGCGAGAUGGCCACCAGCAGCCUCAGGCUUCCAGCCGAGUUUUGCAUCAACCACAUGGGAAGAACAAUGAACCAAAUGAAACAUUACCUUUUCUGAGAGGUCCAGGAGGAACACCUGGGUGGCUCAGUCGGUUAAGCGUCCGACUUUGGCUCGGGUCAUGAUCUCGCGGUUCGUGGGUUCGAGCCCCGCGUCGGGCUCUGGGCUGACAGCUCGGAGCCCGGAGCCUGCUUCGGAUUCUGUGUCUCCCUCUCUCCCUCUGCCCCUCCCCACUCAUGUUCUGUCUCUCUCUC